rnacentral:rRNA from 1 species
UACGUAGGGACCGAGCGUUGUCCGGAAUCACUGGGCUUAAAGCGUGUGUAGGCGGAAUUGUAAGUACCUUGUGAAAUCCCACGGCUCAACCGUGGAACUGCUCGGUAUACUGCUUUUCUUGAGCCACUUAGGGGCUACCGGAACAAAUGGUGGAGCGGUGAAAUGCGUAGAUAUCAUUUGGAACGCCAAUGGUGAAAACAGGUAGCUGGGAGUGUGCUGACGCUGAGACACGAAAGCCAGGGGAGCGAACGGG